GAGUGCAGGGCGUUUCGCCCAAUCCGCACGGCGCACUCCGCACCCAAUCCCCCGUCUCGUCAGGCCCCAUCCCCCACGGGACAAACCCUAGCCUUACAUCCCACACUACCUCCUCCUCCAUCCUCGUUAGCCGCCGCCGCCGCCGUUCUGCCUCCCUCCUCUCUGCCCUACAACCUCGCCGCCGGGAGGAAGCCUCCGUUCGUGGCGCCAUACCGCUGCCGUUGUGUUGUGCACGCUUCGUUCCCCACAGCCCCUCCCUCAUCCUCGCUCGGCACCGCCGCUGCCUGCUACUCCCCUCCACCACCGUUGCUGCUUGUGGGUCGAAUCUAGCAUUGGUGGGUCAGAGCUCAAGCUAGAGGCCGAGACGGGGCUGGGCGAGCUGAUUCCAGGUGCGGGUUCGCCCUCUCCCCGCGCGGCGCGUGCGCAUCACGCCGUCUACGGGAGCGUGGGGGCAGGCCUCGCCCGCACCCCUCCGCCCUACCUCCCUCCUCGAUCUCUCUCCCUGGUCAGCCGCCACCAACCCUAGCCCCCUUUCAUACGCCGACUCCUCUCUCUGUCCGUGCAGGCGGCCAUCUUCGUUCCACCCCGAGCUUCUCAUCCUCCUUCCUUGCUUCUCUACUCCCACACGAAGGAGGAAGAUGCAAAUGGCGUCGGCUUUGGGAGAUAGCUCGCCCGGCUGCAGGGAAGGGCGACGGGACCGGCAUCCUGGGCGGUGGCGACGGUUGGACUCCAGGAGCUGCCGAGGUUGUCCUCACCAAGGAAGCGGCCGACAGCGCAAGGGAAGCUUCUGGACGGGAUUUAGACAAGGAAACGGAGACCCGUGCGAAAUCGAGCAUCCUGGUGGUGCCUCAACCAAAGCGGGUCGACGGAUAGCGCGGUGAGCACGGAGCAUGGUGCAGCGAGUUGGAUAGGCGGCAAGAGAGGUGACCACGGGUGUGGCUUGGGGAGCUCCGCACACAUGAAGUGAUGAUGAGUGCAUCCGACCCCACCAUGCUGCUGGUCCUGGAGAACAAGGGGUAUAUGAACCAGAAAUGAUGUGAUAUACUUGGUUAUUUGAACAUGAAGGUCAGCCGCGGGGUGGCGCGACAUGGGCUCAUUACAAGCUUCGGCUGGAUCAAAUAGUGGGCCUUCUAUAUAUAUAUAUAUUCAGCUGUAUCAUUUCUUACUAUAUAUAUCUUCCUGUCGACCAGACGAAACCAUACAUGGAUCCUUUGCCUCCUUUCUUGCUCAGACCCCAUGAUACAACCUCGGCGGCUGUCCAGCGACUAACAGGGUGCUCCACCGAUGGUGAAAAUACCUCACAUAAUGAUGUUGGAUAUUAGUGGCUGAGUAUUGAAGCAAAAUGUGACAGUUGCAUGAUGUGCUUGACUGUUUAUUUGCAUACAGCAAUAUCAUCUUUUGGAGAUAAUACAGCCGUAUGGCUGUUACAUGAGACCAUGUCGGAAGACCCUGCUGCUAUGUAAGCAAAAGGAUUCAUGAUACCCACGGUGAAAACAGAGAUAACAUGCUACAGUUAGAGCAGCAUUGAGAAACCAAGGACACGAAAUGAGUCUGAAAAAUGCUAUGGGCUGAUUCGUUCUAGCUAGGCUAUGUGUGGUAGAAGUUGUACUCACAGGAAGACUAUCGUGCUUUGUAUAAACCACGUUCUAUGAUUCACUUCUGUUAUGCUUAUUUACAUUCCAGUGUUAGGACUGAAAUCCAUCUAUUGUAAUGAAUUUGGUUGUAUUGGCAUUACCUAUUUGACUUAGGCUUGGUUCAUCACAUAUCGAUUGUUUUUCUUGUAACCCGCUGCUUGUAUGACCUAAAACUGUCAUGUAUAUGAGGCAAGUUAUUAGCAAUGUUUCACAUUUUCUUA